CGCGUAGGCGGACAGUAUAGUCAGGCGUGAAAUUACCUGGGCUCAACCUGGGGGCUGCGCUUGAUACGUGCUGUCUUGAGUGGGGAAGAGGGUCGUGGAAUUCCCAGUGUAGAGGUGAAAUUCGUAGAUAUUGGGAAGAACACCGGUGGCGAAGGCGGCGACCUGGUCCUUGACUGACGCUGAGGCGCGAAAGCGUGGGGAGCAAACAGGAUUAGAUACCCUGGUAGUCCACGCCGUAAACGAUGUGCGCUGGAUGUUGGGCGGCCUAGCCGUUCAGUGUCGCAGCUAACGCGUUAAGCGCACCGCCUGGGGAGUACGGCCGCAAGGUUGAA
rnacentral:rRNA from 1 species